AUUGAACGCUGGCGGCAUGCCUUACACAUGCAAGUCGAACGGCAGCGCGGGGCAACCUGGCGGCGAGUGGCGAACGGGUGAGUAAUGCAUCGGAACGUGCCCAGUCGUGGGGGAUAACGCAGCGAAAGCUGCGCUAAUACCGCAUACGAUCUAUGGAUGAAAGCGGGGGACCGUAAGGCCUCGCGCGAUUGGAGCGGCCGAUGUCAGAUUAGGUAGUUGGUGGGGUAAAGGCCCACCAAGCCAACGAUCUGUAGCUGGUCUGAGAGGACGACCAGCCACACUGGGACUGAGACACGGCCCAGACUCCUACGGGAGGCAGCAGUGGGGAAUUUUGGACAAUGGGCGCAAGCCUGAUCCAGCAAUGCCGCGUGCAGGAAGAAGGCCUUCGGGUUGUAAACUGCUUUUGUACGGAACGAAACGGUUCUCUCUAAUACAGGGGGCUAAUGACGGUACCGUAAGAAUAAGCACCGGCUAACUACGUGCCAGCCGCCGCGGUAAAAC
rnacentral:rRNA from 1 species